AUGGCUAGACAAGAUAAUAUGGCUAGACAAGAUAAUAUGGCUAGACAAGAUAAUAUAGUUAGACAAGCUAGCCUGAAAUGGCUUCUUCAAAUCAAGCUUUAUUUAUACAGCAUAUUUCAGGUAUGUAAUGCAACACAAUGUGUUUCAGGAGAGAGUGGUAGUAGUAGUAGUAUCAGUAGUAGUAGUGGUAGUAGUAGUAGUAGUAGUAUCAGUAGUAGUAGUAUCAGUAAUAGUAGUGGUGGUAGUAGUGGUAGUAGUAGUAGUAGUAGUAUCAGUAGUAGUAGUGGUAGUAGUAGUAGUAGUAGUAUCAGUAGUAGUAGUAUCAGUAAUAGUAGUGGUGGUAGUAGUGGUAGUAGUAGUAGUAGUAGUAUCAGUAGUAGUAAUAGUAGUAGUAGUAUCAGUAGUAGUAAUAGUAGUAAUAUCAGUAGUAGUAGUAGUGGUAGUAGUAGUAGUAGUAUCAGUAGUAGUAGUAGUGGCAGUAGUAGUAGUAGUAGUAGUAGUAGUAGUAGUAGUGGUAGUAGUAGUAUCAGUAGUAGUAGUAGUGGUGGUAGUAGUAUCAGUAAUAGUAUCAGUAGUAGUAAUAGUAGUAGUAUCAGUGGUGGUAGUGGUAGCAGUAGUAAUAGUAGUAGUAGUAGUAUCAGUAGUAGUAGCAGUAGUAGUAGUAGUAGUAGUAGUAGUAGUAGUGGUAGUAGUAGUAGUGAUAGUAGUAGUAGUAUCAGUAGUAGUAGUAGUUGUAGUAUCAGUAGCAGUAGUAUCAGUAGUAGUGGUAGCAGUAGUAUCAGUAGUCGCAGUAGUAGUAGUAGUAGUGGUGGUGGUAGUAGUAGUAAUAGUAGUAGUAUCAGUAGUAGUAAUAGUAGUAGCAGUGGUAGUAGUAGUAGUAGUGGUAGUAGUAAUAGUAGUAGUAGUAUCAGUAGUAGUAGUAUCAGUAGUAGUAGCAGUAGUAGUAGUAAUAGUAGUAGUAUCAGUACUAGUAAUAGUAGUAGCAGUGGUAGUAGUAGUAGUAGUAUCAGUAGUAGUAGUAGUUGUAGUAUCAGUAGUAGUAUCAGUAGUACUAGCAGCAGUAUCAAUAGCAGUAGUAGUAGUAGCAGCAGUAGUAGUAGUAAUAGUUGUAGUAGCAGUUGUAGUAGUAGUAGUAUCAGUAGUAGUAGUAGUAGUAGUAGUAGUAGUAUCAGUAGUAGUAGUAGUAGUAGUAUCAGUAGUAGUAGCAGUUGUAGUAGUAUCAGUAGUAGUAUCAGUAGUAGCAGUUACAGUAGUAGUAGUAGUAGUAGUAUCAGUAGUAGUAGCAGUAUCAGUAGUAGUAGUAGUAGUAGUAGUAUCAGUAGUAGUAGCAGUUGUAGUAGUAGCAGUUGUAGUAGUAGCAGUUGUAGUAGUAGCAGUUGUAGUAGUAGUAGUAGCAGUAUCAGUAGUAGUAGCAGUUGUAGUAGCAGUAGUAGUAGUAUCAGUAGUAGCAGUUACAGUAGUAGUAGUAGUAUCAGUAGUAGUAUCAGUAGUAUUAGUAGCAGUAUCAGUAGUAGUAGUAGCAGUUGUAGUAGCAGUAGUAGUAGUAUCAGUAGUAGUAGUAGUAUCAGUAGUAGUAGUAGCAGUUGUAGUAUCAGUAGUAGUAGUAGUAGUAGUAGUAGUAGCAGUAGUAGUAGCAGUAGUAGUCGCAGUAUCAGUAGUAGUAGCAGUUGUAGUAGUAGUAGUAGCAGUUGUAGUAGUAGUAGUAGCAGUUGUAGUAGUAGCAGUUGUAGUAGUAGCAGUUGUAGUAGUAGUAGUAGCAGUUGUAGUAGUAGUAGUAGCAGUUGUAGUAGUAGUAGUAGUAGUAGUUGUUGUUGUAGCAGUUGUAGUAGUAGUAGUAUCAGUAGUUGUAGUAGUAGUAGCAGUUGUAGUAGCAGUAGUAGUAUUAGUAUCAGUAGUAGUACAGGUGUUGGUACUCUCUUUACCAGUGAGUCUGUCUACAGGUGUUGCUACUAUCUUUACCAGUGA
rnacentral:lncRNA from 1 species